GUGCUCGCUUCCGCAGCUCAUAUAUAAAAUCAAAACAAUACAGAGAAGAUGAGCAUGGCCCCGUUGUAAGGAUGACAUGCAAAUUCGUGAAGUGGUCCAUAUUUAA